UUAAACUCAUUUUCCAUAAAAUCACAAAAUCGGAUAAAAACCACUUUAGAUAAUUAAAACGAUAGUAAGGUUACUCGUUGUAUCAGGAGUUUGAAAUACUCCUAUUCUCAGUCCUCUGACACAAUGUCUUUACCCUUGUUAGAGGGCUCACCACCUAUACAGAAUACACGACACAUAAUUCAAUAUACUGUGUCAUACCAUUAUAAAUCUAUUUCAAGCUCUUUGCUAUUGCAUGAAAUGGGAUGCAAAUUGUUCAGAUUAUUGUCUAAACACGGUGUUCUACACGAAUCCAAUUGUGUACCUAAAUAAUACGAUAUUGGCCUAAUUCGAUCUAUCACUCAAUUAAUUGGCCAAUAUGUCCAAUUCAACACCAAUUCACUCCAUUUUUCUUCCAAUUCUCCAAAUCCUCAAACACAAGUCAAAUAGCAUAAAAUUUACCAAAAUCAUCUCCACGUUUUCUCUUGAGAAUUUCGACCAUGAUGGGUGCAUCAACACCAUGAUUUUUCCUACUUGAUUUUCUCACCAUAAUUCAUCAUUUCCUAACCAAUUCACUUGAAAUAAAAUCAAAUCCACCAUCCACACUCUACAAGGAAAAUUCGGCCAAUGAUGGGUAAUGGGAGCAACUGAAUUUUUCUCGUUGGCUUUUCAUGCUACACAUCACUAACUAACUAAAAACACCAAAAUACAUUAAAAUCUAACCAAAUCAUCAUCAAAUUCUCUCUCCUAGGUGUUCGGCCAGCAAAUGACUCAUCAUGAAAACUUGAUUCUUAACCAUGGAAAAUGCAAAAGAAUGCAUGGGUAAGGUAGAUCACAAGUCAAAAUCAAGAAAUUUUACCUUUGAUUGCUUGAUUACUUGAAAUCCACCAAUUUUUCUCUUGAAUUUUCACCCUAGGGUUCUUGCUCUUUCUUUUCUUCCUUUGUUCUUCCAUUGGUUUUCCUUUGGCUGGCCAUAUGAAGAGAAAUGGGCUGAUUUUGUGUUAAUUUUUAAGCUAAAUAAUUAAUGGAUGAGAAUUUGACACAUGUCACCAUUCCUUUGGUCCAUGUGUCAUACUUAGCCAUUAAGCAAUCACUCUCCACCACUUAAAUUUUCUCAAUUAUCUAUGAUAAUAUUGGGUAAAAUCCAUGUGCUGGACAAGUGUUGGGUGGUGUAAAAUUACAAUUUUGCCCUUGGGCGACAAAAUGACUAUUUUGCCCUUUAUGCUCGAAAAAUGCCGAAAUUAAAAUUUUUUACUUCUCAAACUCAAAUUAUACUCCAAAUGAUCAAUUUUAUUAAAAAAUUUCAUCCAACACUCAUGUCUUAACCUCAGGUGGCAAAAUGACCAUUUUGCCCUUAGGUCAAGAAAAUUCCAAUUUGACUCCAAAUCAGUCCUCGAAUUUCUAAUCACCAUUUUAAGUCAUUCUGAGAAUUUAAAAUUCUCAAUUUUAUCUUAAAAUCUCUAUUUGGACUAGUUCAAGGCUUAAUUCAACUUAGUUGCACCGCUAGGUACACUACUGACUUUCAACAAUUUUUGGGGCUUUCCAAGUAUGCAAGCAUAUUGUCAAUCACAUGAAUGACAUGGCAAGUAUUUUAUAAGGUCGAGCUUGACAACACUACCCCCCUUAAAAUAAAAUUUUGACCUCAAAAUUUCAUUAACCGAACUCAAAGAAAAUAUAUUAUUUUCUCAUCUAAUGCUCGACUUCUUAUGUCCUCCUCUUUAUAAGGAAUUUCAAUUUGUUCACUUCAUUGACCUCCAAUUCAAUUCUCGAGUACUUCACUUAUAUCUAUUAUUAUCCUUUAAAAUCAGAUCAACAGUAACCUUCAUAAUUAUGAUUUCUUAUAUCGAGACACCCAGCAUGCUUCUAGUAUUAUCAUUAAACUUGAACCAUAACUCCAUCUCAAUCAUACCAAUCACUAUCUUAUUACUUCAUUCCAUAUCAAACUUCUCGACUUUCAUUCAUUCAUCCUAUCCUCAUACACUAUUGUGUAGUUUACGGCAUCAUUAACAUGCCAUACUCAUUCCUGUACAUAUCCUCAGUGUUAAGGAAGAUUAAUGGCUUCAAUUAUUUCCACAUACUUCAUGUUUACCUUACAUUUAGGAAAUUUCAAUCUUCUUAAUCCUAUUAAUCCAUCUCAUAUGGCUUAAUCACACUAUAGAUUACAUUCCCUUAACUAUUUCUCCAAAAUUCCUUAGGUCGCCAUAAAUCAUCUUCUGAUAAGAUUCUUGAUCAUUACAUUAUCUAUACAACUCAUCAAAUAUAUUGAGUUCAAAUUUCGAACUACUAAAACCAUUCUUCAUUUUAGUUGGGUACAUCACUAACUCCACACAUACGUAUACACGCACAUUCAAAUGUACAUAUUCCUCAUUAUGUAUACGGGUCUCUAUUUUCAAAUGCCUUCAAACUAAUUUCUCUUUGUUCAUUCCCAUCCAUAACCAAGAUUCAAUAGAAUAAUCUUCAUAAUUCAUACAAAUUCUCAUUAUGCCUGUGCAUAGUUCCACAUCAUUUACAUACUUAUACUCUCUUUUUAUCAUUUCCAAUUAUAUGCUUAAGUUUCCUUGCACUGUAAAUCAUUGCAUCACAAUGUCAUCUCCAUUGAAUUAUAAUCUAUUAUGCGUGUAUGUUUUAUAAUCCCAUUGAAACUUCAAAAUUUUUCCUUGACUUGAUCAUUACAUGUUAUGCAAUACCAUAAUUCCUAAAAGUCAUCCCUAUUCCUCGAUUAUAUUUCAUGCCUCUACAUUUCCUUGUAUUCUUCUUGCAUUCCAAUAUUGAUUUGUCACUUAAAACUCAGACUCAUUUGAAUCAUGUAUGCCUCAAGCAUUUUGAAUUCCAAUUUCCAUAAUAUAUUAGGAAAGUUUCAUUAUCUGACUUCAUUAUCAAGGUUAACUUCAAUCAUCUUUUGUUCCACUAUUUCAUACAAAUAUAACAUCUUUUUCCUUAACCAAUUUACAAAUUGUACUUGAAAUUGCAAAACUUGAAACUAGAUUCUCCUCAAGUACCUUUCAAUAUUAAUACUAAUAUCACUCUCAUCUUAUAGCUUCCUUUUUAUAACCACAUAACUUCGUGCUUGCUUUCACAAGAUCCACGGCAGAACUUCUCUUGAGUAUUUCCUUGGGGAUAUUUAUCUUAAACUUAUGUCUCACAACAUGUGAUCACUUAACUCGUAACUUAGCCAUUUAUGUGGCAUCCUCUUUGGGACCCACUCUGAGGUAUUGUUAUGUUUGGGUCCCCAUCACUUGACUUACUCACUUCCGUCGCGCCUAAGGGCGACACGACAGGCCCUGCAAGACCUUCUCACCAAGUUUCGAACCCUAGACCUUUUGCUCCCCCUAAAAGGAAUGCCUUUAACCAUUUCAGCUUUAACUCAUUCAUAUCGAUAUCUUCCAAAACCUUAAAACUUCAAUUAACAAAACUUAGAAUGAAGUUCAAUGGCUUUAGGUCAACUCGAAAAUUCAACUUCACAUCUGUCUCAUUUUAUUCAUGCAUCCUAGACAUGAAGUGUUCUUAACACCGCCGCACGGUGGCUGUUGGAGUUUACUUGAUCAAUGUUAUUCAUCUAUAUUUAAGGUUACUACGCUAAUCAUUCUCAACCGUUUGGUUUCCCUUCAAGCUUACAUCAUAAUUUUCAUAACCAUUUAUAUCCUCUUGUACUUAUCACAUAUAAUAGGUAAAAUAGAUAUUUUCAAAUUCAUCUCAUCCUAUAACACUUGUCAAUAAUCAAUAAAUCCCACUUUAGAAUACUCUUUCCAUAUUGUAUAGUAAUUUCACCAUAUAGUAUCACGGGUACUAUGUUCCUCCAUUCUACUAUCAUGCAUACUCCACAGAAUUUAAUUAGAAGAUUUACGUACCUUAACUAAUGCUAAUUCCCUUUAAUCAUAUCUUAAAUACUCCAAACUUGUAAAUUACAACUCCAAGUGUAUGUCCAUAUAUUGAUAAUCUUUAUAUAUUUCAUGAUCAUGAAAACUACAACUUACGAACUAGCUUUCUAUCAUAUGUACACUAUUAGAACAUUAGUUUCAACAUGUUUAAUUCUCCUUUGGUGAUAGGUUAAGAUCAUUCCUAGAUACAUUUCCAUAUUAACAUUGAUAUGCCUUUACCAUAGCAUUUAGUGCAAAUUUGAUGAAGGAAUUGUCUCCAAAUAACUCUUAAAUACAUAAUUAUCAAAUUGUACGCCACUAAAUGUUAAGAUCUUGACUUAUUCAUCAAUAACCAAUCACAUUUAUUAAGUGAAUAAUUUACUUAGUUAUUACACCUUGCCAUUGUGAACAUAAGAUCAAAGUUGUCCUAAACUUAGGAUGCAGAAGUUCUCUCUCUUAGAGUAUAUCUAAACAUCAACAUUCUCUAAAUUCCUUACUCUGGGGAGAUCACCUUCAAGACUGAUCAUUCAUAUCAUAGGCCACACUUUGAACCGAAUAAACUUUUAAAUUGAUCUUUCAAGUAAUUCGUAUAUCAGUCUCAAUUAUAGAACUUCAUAUGGCACUUAGACUAGAUUUGACAUUUCCAAGUCAUUUAACCUCAAGCUGCCAAUUCCACAUCUAGUCCUUUAAUCCCUUGGCUCCCCCUUGCUAUGCAUAGCAAAGUUCAAGCUCAUCCUUAAAGCAGAUUUGUUUACUAACUUCUUACUUCAUGACCACAAAUCAAUUAUAGUAAUCAUUGAUACUCACUCUCGAAUUAAUUCACGUGCUUAUAUCCAUGAACUAUAAUAGGUCCAAUCAAUUCUUAAAAUCUCACAAUCGCUUAAUUGAAAUCAACACCAGUUCCUUCUAAGCUGUUAUACCUAUUCAACACAUAUUUACAUAUAAAAUAUUUCAAAAUACUAACACCACUUUUAUAUGAGCAUAACAAGCUCCAUUAACAUAGUGUUCUUAUCUUCAUGCACAUAAGUAUGGGUUUACUCUUACCUCAAUGCUUAAUUUAUACACUCAAAGUGAAUUAUAACCAUCAUUAUUCAUUCUAAUCAAAGUGCGCCCCUUAUUACCAUUAUCACACGUGCUCCUUUAUAUUAACUUCAAUACAAUCCAUAGUCCCCAAAUCUUUUUCCAAUUGACAACCAUGAGUUCAAUUAUAACUCCACCAAAUGAAUAAAUUAUCACGGCCUAUUAGUCCAACUCCAAAUUUCUCCAUCCUUAAUCACAGGGAUAUAUCAUUUCAUUAAUCUUUCAUCAGGAGCAUUAGUUUUAAGAUCUCUCUAACACUGACUCGUGUCAUGGGUGGCAUCUUAAACCCGGACAACGACCCUACUUAUGACCUUUGCAUGACAUUAACAAGGAAGUGGAUUACUGGGAACAAGAGUUCAUAUAGCUCCCUGUCUAUGACUUAUGCUCCCAUAAGAUCUAUAAAAAGAAACAGAACGAGUCUAAACAACUCCAAAUUCUAUAUGCAGAUGCACGUAUUCUAUUCUAUCAAACCUAACUUAACCCAACUCGGGGCCACACUAACACUGUAAAUUUUAAAACAACUUUAAAACCAAAGGCUCUGAUAUUUAAAACCAAAGGCUCUGAUACCAAUCUAAUUGUCACGACCUGGUACUCCCCUCGAGCCCGUGACAACCACCGCAAUGUCCCGAUCGACACUCAAUACCCGAAAUGUCAACCGGAACCCCACAAGGCUUUAAUAUCAGUUUCUCAUUUCCCUUGUGAGUAAUUGUUGCCAAAUAUCAAGUUCUAAAAGAUUUUAAGUUAUUUCCAACUUAAAUCAAUAAAAAAAUGAUUUCUAUCUCAUAGGGAUAUUUUAAUCAUUUUUCCCUGAAAAUUUUAAAACCAGCUAAAAAUGUAGUAGACGAGUACAAAACACAUAAUUCAUAAUCAAAAAUAAAUUUGGAUGUCUAAAACAUUCAUUUAAAAUGAAAUUAUAACUAUUAGAAUAAAAUAAAAAUAUAUAAUAAAUAUUCAAUUUUCUCAUAAAACAAUAUUUUUAGAACACUGCGUAAAUAAAUUUUUGUAGCGUAAAAGUAAAAUAAAUUCAUAUAUAUUGUAAUACAGUAAGCCGGAGUAUUUAAUUUAAUUUACAGUAACAAGUGGGCCCUCGAAUAACCAAAAGUAAGAUAGAUUGUGAACUUACAAUUUGGAGGAUGCAAAUCCAAUGAUUGUCCUCGAUGAAAUCAGCUAUCUAUAGACUAUCCUGAGCCUGAAAUGGGUGAAAAUGAGGGUGGUGAGAUUAUAGAAUCCUAGUGAGUAAACAAAUAUCAUCUAAAAUAUCUAAAGUCGAGUAAUCGUCAAGGCUUAUGAAUUUCUUAAAACUUUGGCUCGUGCCAAAAUCAUUCUCAUACCCAGUUAUCAGGGAUGCCUUGAUCAAGGGCCAUCCCAACUGAGUCCGCCAAGGCUAUUAAAAAGUUAUGUACGCAUAAAUCAUGUUUUUAUUUUGAAAACAUAGUCGUUCCUUGGCGUUGGCUGAGUUCACCCUCACAUGGUGGUCUAGCGUGAAGUGAACUCUAAAGUGUUAACCUCAGGAGUUAUCCAUCUGCGCCUCUCAUAUUGAGGUAAAAUGUAACAGGGUUUACUGUGACCCUCUAAUAGGCUUGUCCAUAGAAACCCGCCCAUUGCAAUAAGCUAAUUCAUAUCCCACCAAAUCAAUAAAAGUUUUGACAGCAUGACAUGGCAAUUUAUAUUACUAUCCAGCCUGUUAAGGCAAAACAAACAGUUCGUACAUUUUCUAAUUCAACCAUUCAUGCCAAUAUUAUCAUAAGCCAAUCAAUUAGAAACAUAAAUUCACAGUACACCAAAUGGUCUCCAGUUACUCUAAUUUCAAAGACAUCAUUCAAUUUCAAGACAAUUUAUAAAAUCAUUUCUUUUAAACACAUUUUGUUUAUAAAACAUAAAGAUUUACCAUUUAAACUCAUUUUCCAUAAAAUCACAAAAUCGGAUAAAAACCACUUUAGAUAAUUAAAACGAUAGUAAGGUUACUCGUUGUAUCAGGAGUUUGAAAUACUCCUAUUCUCAGUCCUCUGACACAAUGUCUUUACCCUUGUUAGAGGGCUCACCACCUAUACAGAAUACACGACACAUAAUUCAAUAUACUGUGUCAUACCAUUAUAAAUCUAUUUCAAGCUCUUUGCUAUUGCAUGAAAUGGGUGCAAAUUGUUCGGAUUAUUGUCUAAACACGGUGUUCUACACGAAUCCAAUUGUGUACCUAAAUAAUACGAUAUUGGCCUAAUUCGAUCUAUCACUCGAUUAAUUGGCCAAUAUGUCCAAUUCAACACCAAUUCACUCCAUUUUUCUUCCAAUUCUCCAAAUCCUCAAACACAAGUCAAAUAGCAUAAAAUUUACCAAAAUCAUCUCCACGUUUUCUCUUGAGAAUUUCGACCAUGAUGGGUGCAUAAACACCAUGAUUUUUCCUACUUGAUUUUCCCACCAUAAUUCAUCAUUUCCUAACCAAUUCACUUGAAAUAAAAUCAAAUCCACCAUCCACACUCUACAAGGAAAAUUUGGCCAAUGAUGGGUAAUGGGAGAAAAUAAAUUUUUCUUGUUGGCUUUUCAUGCUACACAUCACUAACUAAUUAAAAACACCAAACUAGAUUAAAAUCUAACCAAAUCAUCAGCAAAUUCUCUCUCCUAGGUGUUCCGCCAGCAAAGGACUUAUCAUGAAAACUUGAUUCUCAACCAUGGAAAAUGCAAAAGAAUGCAUGGGUAAGGUAGAUCACAAGUCAAAAUCAAGAAAUUUUACCUUUGAUUGCUUGAUUACUUGAAAUCCACCAAUUUUUCUCUUGAAUUUUCACCCUAGGGUUCUUGUUCUUUCUUUUCUUCCUUUGUUCUUCCUUUGGUUUUCCUUUGGC
rnacentral:lncRNA from 1 species